rnacentral:rRNA from 1 species
GAUGAACGCUGGCGGCGUGCCUAAUACAUGCAAGUCGAGCGAACAGAUGAGGAGCUUGCUCCUCUGACGUUAGCGGCGGACGGGUGAGUAACACGUGGAUAACCUACCUAUAAGACUGGGAUAACUUCGGGGAACCGGAGCUAAUACCGGAUAAUAUAUUGAACCGCAUGGUUCAAUAGUGAAAGACGGUUUUGCUGUCACUUAUAGAUGGAUCCGCGCCGCAUUAGCUAGUUGGUAAGGUAACGGCUUACCAAGGCAACGAUGCGUAGCCGACCUGAGAGGGUGAUCGGCCACACUGGAACUGAGACACGGUCCAGACUCCUACGGGAGGCAGCAGUAGGGAAUCUUCCGCAAUGGGCGAAAGCCUGACGGAGCAACGCCGCGUGAGUGAUGAAGGUCUUCGGAUCGUAAAACUCUGUUAUUAGGGAAGAACAAAUGUGUAAGUAACUAUGCACGUCUUGACGGUACAUAAUCAGAAAGCCACGGCUAACUACGUG